GACGAACGCUGGCGGCGUGCUUAACACAUGCAAGUCGAACGGAAAGGCCCUGCUUGCAGGGUACUCGAGUGGCGAACGGGUGAGUAACACGUGGGUGAUCUGCCCUGCACUUCGGGAUAAGCCUGGGAAACUGGGUCUAAUACCGGAUAGGAGCCAUUUUUAGUGUGAUGGUUGGAAAGUUUUUUCGGUGUAGGAUGAGCUCGCGGCCUAUCAGCUUGUUGGUGGGGUAAUGGCCUACCAAGGCGGCGACGGGUAGCCGGCCUGAGAGGGUGGACGGCCACAUUGGGACUGAGAGACGGCCCAGACUCCUACGGGAGGCAGCAGUGGGGAAUAUUGCACAAUGGGCGCAAGCCUGAUGCAGCGACGCCGCGUGGGGGAUGACGGCCUUCGGGUUGCAAACUCCGUUCGCUAGGGACGAAGCUUUUUGUGACGGUACCUAGAGAAGAAGCACCGGCUAACUACGUG
rnacentral:rRNA from 1 species